UUGUUGCAGUUAAAAAGCUCGUAGUUGGACUUUAGGCAAGGCGGCCUGGUCACCCUCUGGGUGUACUGGGAUCGCUGCGCCUCACCUUCGGGGAGCUAGUCGUGCUUCGGUGCGCUAGGGAACCGAGCCUUACCUUGAGGAAAUUAGAGUGUUUAAAGCAGGCUUAUGCUUGAAUACGUUAGCAUGGAAUAACAUGAUAGGACUUUGGUUCUAUUUUGUUGGUUUGAGGACCAAAGUAAUGAUUAAUAGGGACAGUUGGGGGCAUUAGUAUUCAAUAGUCAGAGGUGAAAUUCUUGGAUUUAUUGAAGACUAACUAAUGCGAAAGCAUUUGCCAAGGAUGUUUUCAUUAAUCAAGAACGAAAGUUAGGGGAUCGAAGACGAUUAGAUACCGUCGUAGUCUUAACCAUAAACUAUGCCGACUAGGGAUCGGUGGAAGUCGAUUUUGACUCCAUCGGCACCUUACGAGAAAUCAAAGUUUUUGGGUUCUGGGGGGAGUAUGGUCGCAAGGCUGAAACUUAAAGGAAUUGACGGAAGGGCACCACCAGGAGUGGAGCCUGCGGCUUAAUUUGACUCAACACGGGAAAACUCACCAGGUCCGGACAUGGGAAGGAUUGACAGAUUGA
rnacentral:rRNA from 1 species